rnacentral:rRNA from 1 species
CCCAUGUCUUUUGCGCACUUGUUGUUUCCUGGGCGGGUUCGCCCGCCACCAGGACCAAACCAUAAACCUUUUUUUCUUAUGCAGUUUCCAUCAGCGUCAGUAAAAACAAUGUAAUUAUUACAACUUUCAACAACGGAUCUCUUGGUUCUGGCAUCGAUGAAGAACGCAGCGAAAUGCGAUACGUAGUGUGAAUUGCAGAAUUCAGUGAAUCAUCGAAUCUUUGAACGCACAUUGCGCCCUUUGGUAUUCCAAAGGGCAUGCCUGUUCGAGCGUCAUUUGUACCUUCAAGCUUUGCUUGGUGUUGGGCGUUUUUUUGUCUCCCUCUUUCUGGGAGACUCGCCUUAAAACGAUUGGCAGCCGGCCUACUGGUUUCGGAGCGCAGCACAUUUUUUGCGCUUUGUAUCAGGAGAAAAGGACGGUACUCCAUCAAGACUCUACAUUUUUCACUUUUGACCUCGGAUCAGGUAGGGA